rnacentral:rRNA from 1 species
CCCUUAGAUGUUCUGGGCCGCACGCGCGCUACACUGAUGCGUUCAACAAGUUUCCUUGGCCGAGAGACCUGGGCAAUCUUCUUAAUAUGUAUCGUGAUAGGGAUAGAUUAUUGCAAUUAUUAAUCUUGAACGAGGAAUUCCUAGUAAACGCAGAUCAUCAAUCUGCAUUGAUUACGUCCCUGCCCUUUGUACACACCGCCCGUCGCACCUACCGAUUGGAUGUUCCGGUGAAGCCUCGGGAUGAGGACUGGUGCCUUUAUUGGCAUGAGUUGUUCAGAACUUGUCUAAACCUUAUCAUCUAGAGGAAGGUGAAGUCGUAACA